UCCUGUACCACCUAUACUCGUUUUAAUCGAUGGGGGGACGCCGCAGGCUAGGCGAAGCGUGCGAUUGGAUUGCACGUCCAAGCAGUAAGGCGGAGUAUUAGGCAAAUCCGGUACUCGUUAAGGCUUAGCUGUGAUGGGGAGAAGACAUUGUGUCUUCGAGUCGUUGAUUUCACACUUACGAGAAAAAAAGCUAGAUAGAAAAUAUGAGACCGUACCGCACAACGACACAGG
rnacentral:rRNA from 1 species